rnacentral:rRNA from 1 species
UACAGAGGUCUCAAGCGUUGUUCGGAUUCAUUGGGCGUAAAGGGUGCGUAGGCGGCGCGGUAAGUCGGGUGUGAAAUCUCGGGGCUUAACUCCGAAACUGCAUUCGAUACUGCCGUGCUUGAGGACUGGAAAGGAGACUGGAAUUUACGGUGUAGCGGUGAAAUGCGUAGAUAUCGUAAGGAAGACCAGUGGCGAAGGCGGGUCUCUGGACAGUUCCUGACGCUGAGGCACGGAGGUCAGGGGAGCAAACGGG